rnacentral:lncRNA from 1 species
GUCUAUAGUUGGAAGUACAACUAAUGCAAAAUAAGCAGAUAAUUGAGAUUAUUAGUUUUGUUAAGCACCAAUGAAGGUGGGAACAAAUUAGUGGUGGAGACCACUUGGAAAUUUGGGUUGGCUAGGCUGAUACUCUAGUGAACUUAACAGUAGUAUUUGGCAUGCAUCACAUUAAGUUCACUGAACGAAGGCAAUUAUUAAAGAUGGUGGGCCAUUUGUUAGUGGUUGUUGCAGAGGAAACCUUGAAACAGGGC